GCUACCAACAGGGUACUGACAGAUGUCUUUAUUCCUCUUAAAGAUAGGAGAUUAUCUGUGGACUUUUCAGCUGCAAUUGACUGGUCCUUGAUUUUUGCUGCAAACGACUAUCCUUUGACUUUCUAUCACCAGCUGAUGUUUGCUUGCACUCAGACUGUUCAUCUAGUUAAAUACUCCAUAUGAAUUGAGGCUCUUCAGUGCACAUGUUAUUGUCUUACUUAAUUCCCCUGUAUUCACCUUGAUUUUAUUACGCUUCAAGUCCUGUCAGUUGAACUUGGAUUUCAAUAUCCACCCUGAGGGGGUUUUUCCUUGACUGGCUGUGCAUGAAGCUAGGAGUAAUCUAGAGAGACGAUCUUGUCCUAAUUCCCCUGAAGAAGCCAAGAGGCGAAACUAGUAGGGUCGACCUGAUCGAAAAAAUUAUUUCUAGAUCUUGCUC